AAUGUAAAUAUUACCUUGUAGGACGGUAUGAUCUCAACAUGCCGGAGCUGACCUGCGAGGGAUGCCAGGCAACUUGGACUGCAGGACUUGAUGACCUAAUAAAAACUGGAUACUGGCCUGCCACCCUUCAUUUUGUAACAAUUUAUGAGACAGACCUGUUUUAUACAUUUGAAGACAUGAAGAUGGCAUCACCCGGGAUGUCUUUUCAGGCAUAUCUAAGAAUGCUUGAGAAGCGGACUGCUCGCUUUGGCCGUACUGGGAAGAUCUCAUCAGACAGCUUCCAAAAAAGCUUUUUUUGAAUGGGCUGCUGUACAAUAUGAGGUUGACUCCACCUGCAAGGAGGAGAAAUUCAUCUGUCCUGCCUGUACCCCAGCAAUGCUUUCUGUCUCAGUGGAUGGAAACCGCAAGCGUUACCGCUUCAAAAGUACUGCAAGAUCUCAGGUGCGGGCCAUCUUUGACGGUGUCUUCAUUGCAAAAGAUGACGAUGUGACCAGAUUUGUGGAUCACAUCCACAGCAAAAAAAAACAUGUCACUGGAAGGAACAAUUGUGGUGGGGAGUGGUCAGCUGCCAGAGAGACCUCCCAAAGAUCAAUCAGUAAGGUGGAUGAGGAGGGACUGGAGCUGGCAGUGUGCAGGCAUGAUGUCUUGCUGGCUGCCCUUAAUAUGUUUGUACAUGCUAAAGCGCAUGACUUCAAAUGUGAGGUCAAAUGGAGUAGCAAACCAAGAAGGUGCUGGUAAAACACUAGGGGAGGAAGUAGAGCAAUGUAAUGCUUUCCUCUCCAGGAUAUCAGUCACCACAAAGCAUAUGUCAAAAGCAGGAUGCAAUGACAUGCUGACACUCCUGGCCAUAAGAUGGAACCAGCAGAAAUGUCCAAACCUGGCUCCUGCACUUUCCCAGAGAUACCAUAAGACAUCUAAAGCUUUCAAUAUCCCGAUUGGGGACCUGGAAACCCUGAAAGCCCAGCAUCAACUGGGUGAACAUACUGUGGAAGAAUUUGUGCAAGAAGUAAAAGAAUGGGCAGAUGGAGAAAUUGACCAUCAAGGCACACCACAAGCUUUGUGUAAGAAGAUUGAGGCCUUCACAACCAGCAUCAACACGAGAGCUCAACUCCUAUAUCGGAAAAAUGACCGCAACAAAGGCCGACAUAGAAUUCGCAGAAAAAUAAGGCAACAGAAGACCACUUUAAAGGCCAUGGUAGCGGAGUACAACAGUCUCAUUGCAUGGAUAGCGUUCUGGACACAGAACAUCCCUGGCCUUGGCAAAUUACACAGAGUGGCUCUGCUGAUUUCAGCACAAAGAAAGAAGUCUUCGAUAGGGUCAUGGGUGUUCAAAGGCUUCAAGAGGAGAAGAAGAUCCUUGUGAAAGAAAUGAAGCAGCACUGGGAGUCUCUCAAAGCCCAUGCCAGGGUCUUGUCCGAGUUGUCUCAGCAUCAGAGUGAAGACGCCAUGCAAAGACAUCUCACAGAGAAAGCAACAAAGGGUCACACCUGCCUCAUCCUUCCAGUGGGAAAUGAGAGAGCUGCAGCGGCAUACAAGAAAACACUACCUGCAUGUGCUGUCAUCAGCAGAUGACAUAAUGGACACAAUGGACAGUUCAGAUGAGUUUGACAUUAGCUGUGAAGAUUCAGAGUCAGAUGCAAUGUAAAACAGGAAGAUGUGGUGCUCAUGAUCACAGUGCACCGUGUGCGACACAUGGUCACACAGAGCAUGUGGCUUUAAAAAGUAACUAACGUAUGUGCUCAUUGUCAGGAUUAAGUUGGAGAUGACAGUUGUAGUUUUUGUAUUAGGUUGUUGUUAUUUUUGCAUUUGGUUUUGAAAUGUUUAAUCACUUAUAUAAGGUUUGAUUUUUCUACUGGGUUGUGGGAAGUUCCUGGUUAAUGUUGUCUUACAUCUUUACAACACAAACCACUGUCCUUUACUGUCUUAUCUUUGAUUCACGUUCAGUUCUGCAUCUUUUCAGGGAUUUUCUUUCCAGUUGAUCUUUACUGUUUGAUUAAUAAUUGUUCUUUAAUGUUUAAUUAAACAAAGGCACAAUAAA